rnacentral:rRNA from 1 species
CAAUAGCGUAUAUUAAAGUUGUUGCGGUUAAAAAGCUCGUAGUUGGAUUUCUGCUGAGGACGACCGGUCCGCCCUCUGGGUGAGUAUCUGGCUCGGCCUUGGCAUCUUCUUGGGGAACGUAACUGCACUUGACUGUGUGGUGCGGUAUCCAGGACUUUUACUUUGAGGAAAUUAGAGUGUUUCAAGCAGGCGCACGCCUUGAAUACAUUAGCAUGGAAUAAUAAGAUAGGACCUUGGUUCUAUUUUGUUGGUUUCUAGAGCUGAGGUAAUGAUUAAUAGGGAUAGUUGGGGGCAUUCGUAUUUAACUGUCAGAGGUGAAAUUCUUGGAUUCGGUCAAGACUAACUUAUGCGAAAGCAUUCACCAAGGAUGUCUUCUUUAAUCAAGAACGAAAGUUGGGGGAUCGAAGACGAUCAGAUACCGU